GAUGAAGAACGCAGCGAAAUGCGAUACGUAAUGUGAAUUGCAGAAUUCCGUGAAUCAUCGAAUCUUUGAACGCACAUUGCGCCCCUUGGUAUUCCGAGGGGCAUGCCUGUUCGAGCGUCAUUAUAACCCCUCAAGCUCAGCUUGGUGUUGGGGCCUGCCGCACGGGCAGCCCUUAAAAUCAGUGGCGGUGCCAUCUGGCUCUAAGCGUAGUAAUUCUUCUCGCUAUAGAGUCACGGUGGAUGCUUGCCAUUAACCCCCAAUUUUCAAUGGUUGACCUCGGAUCAGGUAGGGAUACCCGCUGAACUUAAGCAUAUCAAUAAGCGGAGGA
rnacentral:misc_RNA from 1 species